rnacentral:rRNA from 1 species
AGCCGCGGUAAUGCGUAGGGUGCAAGCGUUAAUCGGAAUUACUGGGCGUAAAGCGUGCGCAGGCGGUUAUGCGAGACAGAGGUGAAAUCCCCGGGCUCAACCUGGGAACUGCCUUUGUGACUGCAUGGCUAGAGUACGGUAGAGGGGGAUGGAAUUCCGCGUGUAGCAGUGAAAUGCGUAGAUAUGCGGAGGAACACCGAUGGCGAAGGCAAUCCCCUGGACCUGUACUGACGCUCAUGCACGAAAGCGUGGGAAGCAAACAGGAUUAGAUACCCUGGUAGUCCACGCCCUAAACGAUGUCAACUGGUUGUUGGGAGGGUUUCUUCUCAGUAACGUAGCUAACGCGUGAAGUUGACCGCCUGGGGAGUACGGCCGCAAGGUUGAAACUCAAAGGAAUUGACGGGGACCCGCACAAGCGGUGGAUGAUGUGGUUUAAUUCGAUGCAACGCGAAAAACCUUACCUACCCUUGACAUGCCAGGAAUCCUGAAGAGAUUUGGGAGUGCUCGAAAGAGAGCCUGGACACAGGUGCUGCAUGGCCGUCGUCAGCUCGUGUCGUGAGAUGUUGGGUUAAGUCCCGCAACGAGCGCAACCCUUGUCAUUAGUUGCUACGAAAGGGCACUCUAAUGAGACUGCCGGUGACAAACCGGAGGAAGGUGGGGAUGACGUCAGGUCAUCAUGGCCCUUAUGGGUAGGGCUACACACGUCAUACAAUGGCCGGGACAGAGGGCUGCCAACCCGCGAGGGGGAGCUAAUCCCAGAAACCCGGUCGUAGUCCGGAUCGUAGUCUGCAACUCGACUGCGUGAAGUCGGAAUCGCUAGUAAUCGCGGAUCAGCUUGCCGCGGUGAAUACGUUCCCGGGUCUUGUACACACCGCCCGUCAAAC